UCUGUGUGCUCCAUGGAGGACAUGUGUCGCAGCCCAAAGCCCUCAGGCCAGCUCCCACACACCUCCAGCAGGGUCACGCUCCGGUCGAAGGUACCUGGGACACACGCGGGAUUUAGAUUCAUCCAGGGUUGAAGGUUGUUGAAAACCCCCUAGGGAAAGAGUCUAGCCAGCAGAGAUAAAGGCCACACACCAAAUGCAGAAUCUGGAAUAAACCCCUCCAGGUUGAUUCCCAAAAUAACUCCAUUUGUAUGCUGCACAACAAUGUUUUGGUCUACAAAGAAGAUGGCAGUCCAAGAGUUAAUGGAACUGUAUCGUUCACCACCAAGUGACAUCACAACCAUCCUCUCAGGGCAAUGCACCACAUACAG